GACCUUGAAUAUAAAUAAAGCUAUAAGAAGUUGAAAUGGAUUAACCCGUCUUGUCAGGGGUGAAAGGCGACUUGUCUAUGAUCGUUUAGAGAUGGCGAGUCGUGCCGACACCUUGUACAUCGAACACAUCUUCAAGGCGAGUGAGUUCAGCCCUACUUUAGGUUGAUCUUGCCCGCCAAUUUUUGGAAGCCUCCCUUACGGGAAAGGCUGCCAAUAAUUCUAAAUACUAGACUGUGUAGAGAUAACUUAAUAAGAGUACGCAAAAUCCCAAUUUACCAUGUUUUUGACAAGAUUAAAGAUGCAACAAUCACGUCUUAUGUGGGGUUGUCAAAUUAUGGGUUUCGUUUAAAAGUUUGAGUCUUUAUUGGCGGUGAUUUAAAGAUUUUGUGUGCUUCAGUUCAUAUAAGUGAAGAGAGAGAGGAGAUCAUUGCUACUUAGUAUAUUGGGUUGUUGUAAACAUUGAUGUUUUAGUUUAAUGAGUAAUUAUUAGUUGAAAUAUGUAGUCUUUUCUUAUGAUAUCAGUGCGUUUUGCUUCGAAUUUUAUCUUAAUUUCAUAUUUAGUGCUUGCUCAGUGGAGGGAUUAGUUGUAGGGUUUUUUUUUUUGUCAAUUAAGUGUGUCAAUUUAUAGGAUUUUUUAGUGUUUGAGGUAUAUUUUAAGUUAAUUGUUUAUCAAAUGUUUGGUUAGUUAAGAGACAAGGAGUUGAUUAGUCUUCUUGUUGUUGUAAAUACUGCUACGUUUACUGGAAAUAGUUAUAUGUACUUUUCCUGGCCUUUUGUCUAAGAUCAAGUGUAAUUAGUUAUUUUUUACUUAAAUUUGUAUGUGUAGGGAAAAGAUGCAGCAGCUGUAGGCGCAUAUGAUAUGCCUUCAUGUGAAACUUUGAUCUAUUUUACCCUGUCUUACGCUUUUUCGGUUUGGUUAAUGUGUUUAAAUGAGGGAUUUUUUGUGUAGGGAACUUACCUGUCUUUGAACUGUGCUCUAAUUGCUCGCUUAUCAUUUACAGAAAGUUUAUACUAGAUCGGAUACUUGUAAUGCCUGCCUUUUGCGUACGCAUACGAGUGUUAAUUUCUGAAUAAAGAGAUUCUGUGCUCUUGGUGCAGUAUAGUUGUCAUCAUGUGUGAAGGGCUAUUUGCAUUGGGAUUCUUAUGAAAGGUCUUAUUUGGUUGAAGAAAAUUAUACUUCUGGAUCAUAUUGAGAUGCUCUCUACCUCUGAAUGCUUGCUUUUUUUGCAGCUGCAUGUAUGGCAUAGGAUUUAGUAGAAUCAUGCAAGCAUUUCAUUAGUGCUGUCAUCAAUGGAUCCGAUCUGGUGCUACAUUUUCAGCUGCCUCUGUUGAUGAUGUUCACUCUGAGGUGCUGAAAUUUGCUCGAGUCAAGGAUCAAUGAUGUUCAUGCUUUACAAUCCACUGUUAAACUCCGGACUCUCAAAUGGUUCUCGACCAGGUCACAGCACCUUUGUGGUUAAAUGACUCGAGGGAUCAGGUUGAGCAGACCAGAGUCCUCAUUGUUGUUUAUUGCUACGCUGCUGCCCUGGAAUCUCGUCUGCCAUCAUAGCUAGUGCGAAAGCCGGGGUUGCUGGUGCAAUCGCACUCUUGCAACCCAUCUCCAGCAGCACUCAGGUUGUGAUGAUGCGAGCACAAGAUGUUGCCCAAGCUGUCGUCAGAACAUGCUCAUCUCAAAGUCUGAUGUUUUGUGCACUGGCCAUCAAUAAAUUCUAAUGCCGAGGUGUCAUUAUUUUUAAUUGGUUUCCCUUUGCAAAUCAACUUUCAAAAUACUAUCUGGUAUGUAAGUGAUGAAAGUUAGUUUUAUUAUUUCAUAAGCAUUGUGUCUAGAGAAUAAAAAUUUAUGUUGUUCAAGUCUAUAUGAGGCAAAUCCUAUACUGGGGCAAUUUUAAGGAAACAAAACAAUUAAGAGGAAGGGAAGUGUGGAGUAUCUAUCUUGCCUUUUCUGUUUUCUAGAGAGAAAUCAGAGAUGUAUUUUCUGAAGGAAGCAUUUCUUCAUAUUUGCAACAGAACAUGAGACAAUUUUGUUCUA